rnacentral:misc_RNA from 1 species
GAAGGAGCUCAAAUUUUGAAGGCUGGGUCUGUAGUACUGGUAUUGUUUGAUUAGAGAAAAGAGUCACAGAAAGAAUCAAUUUUUGCACCAAGUAGAUAAUCUUCCCUGUAUACUCAUGACAAAAAUGUAAAAAAUUUACUUUUUAUCUUCAACAAGGCUCUCUGUUUAGGGUUUUAUCUUUCUCUCUGCCUUUUUCUGUUCAUUUAAGCUUCGGGGUUCUUGCCCAAUUAGUUUUAACAAGCACUCUUUCUUGGAUUUUGCUUUACUGGGUUGGGUUGGCUUUGGUUGUUUUGUGGUAUUUUAGCUCAAAGCCAGGGCUUUCAUAUGGUUUGUCAUUAUUGGGUAGUUUUGGUGGAGUAGGUGCUGCAAUUUUCUUCAGUUUUAUGUAGUCUCUUUUGUUUUCACCUUGUCUUACUUCUAGGUCUCUGGGUUACAGACAACCUUGGUGGACUUAUUUUUCGUACUACUUGAGUUUUAAGGUUUGUUUUAUGAGUUUAGUUUGUGUUCUGAAUUGGGUGGUGGAUUCGGCUCCUCAAAUUGUUACAAGUUCUCUGCAGUUUUGCGGAACUGGAUGUGCUGCGUUGAUUCUUUUGCUUGUAUUUUGUGGAGUGGCUGUAUCUGGGUUGUGGUAUUUUGUUGAUUUUCAUAAGGGUCUGCUUGGUUUAAUAAAUUUGGUAGCGGUGAUUGUGGCUGAGGAGGCGGCGGCGGCGGCGGCGAUGAUGGUGAUUCAUGGGUACUAGAACGGUGAAUGUUAGUGGACAAAAUGAUAAUAGCACUUUGACCGAGAUGCCGAGUUUCGUUCCUUCAAUACCCACUUCCAAUCCAAUGGGCACAGAAGGAAAUAGUAUCCGCUCUCGAAUUUCAGAUUUUGGAACACUUGAACAGUCUCUUGGAUUUCGCAUAGAAGAUGCUGUUGAUCUUAGCAGAAAUCCUGUGUUCAAUCAGUUAAAAUCAAGCAGCCAGGCAAUAGGCACUGAUGUCCAAUUUGGCUCUUUGAAUAAGUCACUUUCAUACUCAGAUAUAAAUCUGUCUGCUGCUGUUGUGCGUGCCCAAUCAUUGCCACUGCAGAAAGAAUCACAAUCAAAUCCAGUUACUAUGCUUGGUAGCCACCGUGAAAAUUGGGGAGAGACCAAUGUUGCCGAUGGCAGUCCUAGAACUGAUACCUCAACAGAUGACACAGAUGACAAAAAUCAAAGGAGUGAAAGAGGACAGUCAACUGCAGUCAUGGCAUCUGAUUCUAGUGACAAAUCAAAGGAAAAGUCAGGGGAUCAAAAGACAUUGCGCAGACUUGCUCAAAAUCGUGAAGCUGCCAGAAAAAGCAGGCUAAGGAAAAAAGCAUAUGUACAACAAUUGGAGAGCAGUCGGCUGAAGCUAACUCAACUUGAGCAAGAGCUCCAAAGAGCCCGCCAACAGGUUUGCUUGUUACUACUUUUUUGAUGUUGAGAUAUGUUUUAUUGGCUCCUAUUUUUCUGUCAUGUUUGAUUGCUUUUAUUUAACUUUAUUGAAUUUAGGGCAUUUUUAUUUCGAGCUCAGGAGAUCAAUCCCAUUCAAUGAGUGGAAAUGGUACUUUAAUCUAUUUUUAGUCCAUUUAUUUUUAUUUUUCUUGCAGAUGUGUAAUUGGUCAUGGUAUGAUGGAUCUGGUGAAUUUAUGUUUUCACAUGUUAUGCGUGAUCAAGUGAAUGCCAUCCACAUUUGUAGAAAUCCUUUAAUGUUUUAAAUAUCGGCCAAUAUGUAUCAUAUCAGGUCAGCCAAUAUAUAUUGGAUUUUGUAAGGGUCUAUCAAUUUGAUAUUUUCUGGUACACUACCUGUAAUUCAUGAAUCUUUGUGAAUCCACAGAGUAUGAGAUGCUGUUACAGCCUGUUAUGCUUAUGGUGCAACAGCUGUAGCAGCAGGCAAAUAGAGAAAAAGGGUGGGCAGGAUUGGAUGGGUGUACAUGGAUUGAGUGGAAGCGUUGCCAAUUGGAUUUCCAGAAUUUUUUUUUUAUAAUUUUAAACCUUAGAGGAAGUUUAUUUCUUUUAAUUUUUAUUUAGACCAUUGAACCAUUUCUGUUACGUUUUUUUUAUAUCAAUUUGUUGUGUUAAUUUAUUGUUACAAUCCAUUCCUAUACAAAUAAAAUCUUAAAAAAAAAAAAUCUUUUUUGUAAUGAACUAUUUCUUUAACCAUAUUUUACUAUAAAUUGUUAAAUAUACUUGAUAAUUAUGAUAUUUAAAUUCUUCGUUGAAUGUUUGAUUUGAGCCAUUUUGCUAAUUUUGUGAAAUACACUGUUGAUAGAAUCUUACAAUUCUUGAUUCAAAUCGCAUGAUUUGAUUCAAUUCUCCAUCCUAAUGAUUCAAAUCUAUGGGUUUAAUUGCAAAUGUAUCAGAAUCAUGACCGAAUCUUCCGAUUCGAUAGUGAAUCGGGUGAAUCGAUAUGAGUCUUUUUCUAGAGAGUUAGAUCCUAUAUCUUCAAAAUUUAAGAUUUCACUUCAUUUUUACUAUGAAAAGUGCACAUAAAACCUUCCCCUAACUAUUUUUCUUCCGCCAACCAUUCUUUACCCUCUCCCUUUUCUUUCUUUUCUUUUUUUUUUUUUAAUAAUAAUUUUUUUUCCGAGACAGAGAGGGACGGUGGAACAGUCUUUGGCGACCUUUAGUAAGGUGAUAUCGAUGGCGGUCGCUGAACGGCGAAAGCAUCACAGCGAUAAGAAAAUGUUUAGUCUCUGUACUUUUUGGCAGAGUGGAACAACGAACUCCUCGUCUUCCUCUUCUACGCAGAAUCUCAACCACACUCAAAACAGCAACAGCAACAGCAACAACAGCAGCAGGUGGAAGA